UACGGGGGAUGCGAGCGUUAUCCGGAUUUAUUGGGUUUAAAGGGUGCGUAGGCGGCGCUUCAGGUCAGCGGUGAAAUACCGGGGCUCAACCCCGGGGCUGCCGUUGAAACCGGAGCGCUAGAAUUCCGAUGCCGUCGGAGGAAUGUGUGGUGUAGCGGUGAAAUGCAUAGAUAUCACACAGAACACCGAUUGCGAAGGCAUCUGACGAAUCGGAGAUUGACGCUGAUGCACGAAAGCGUGGGUAUCGAACA
rnacentral:rRNA from 1 species